GAUGAACGCUGGCGGCGUGCCUAACACAUGCAAGUCGAGCGAUUCUACUCGGAGAAGAGCGGCGGACGGGUGAGUACCGAGUGGGUAACCUGCCCUGUACACACGGCUAAUAUACCGAAAGGUAUGCUAAUACGCGAGAAUAUGCUCUUAUUGCAUGGUAGAAGUAUCAAAGCCCCGGCGGUACAGGAUGGACCCGAGUCUGAUUAGCUAGUGGGUAAGGUAACGGCUUACCAAGGCGACGAACAGUAGCCGACCUGUGAGGGUAAUAGGCGACAUUGAGACUGAGACACGGCCCAGACUCCUCCGGGAUGCAGCAGUGGGGAAUAUUGCACAAUGGGGGAAACCCUGAUGCAUCACCGCCGCUUGAGUGAUGAAGGCCUUCGGGUUGUAAUGCUCUGUCUUUGGGGACGAUAAUGACGGUACCCAAGGAGGAAGCCAUGGCUAACUACGUGCCAGCCGCCGCCGUAA
rnacentral:rRNA from 1 species